rnacentral:rRNA from 1 species
UACGUAGGUGGCAAGCGUUGUCCGGAUUUAUUGGGUUUAAAGGGUGCGUAGGCGGCCCGGUAAGUCAGUGGUGAAAGCCUCCAGCUCAACUGGAGAACUGCCAUUGAUACUGUCGGGCUUGAGUACAGACGAGGUUGGCGGAAUUGAUUGUGUAGCGGUGAAAUGCAUAGAUACAAUCAAGAACUCCGAUUGCGUAGGCAGCUAACUAGGCUGUAACUGACGCUGAGGCACGAAAGCGUGGGGAGCGAACAGG